UUAUAGACGGGGGCAACUGCACUCCUUACACGCCACGGAGUGGACCGGGGUGCUUCAAGGAGGUCUCCUGCCGCGGGAGGCUUUGAUUCGGCCGCUCGGCUUCACAGAACAAUCGUGGAGCGGCGCUCCCCCGGGGUGGCGGACUUGGCUCCCUUUAAUCCCCGGGUCUGUGUCCUCGGUGACUUGCUACAGAGGGGCUAUUAUUCGGGGCCUUAUUACUGCGCCCCUCGCGGCUUAUCUCCUUCCUGGUGACAGUCUUUUCAAGCCUCCCCCUAAUGACCUGGGGAAACUCACAUGCUCAACUUCCCAGGACUGCGUGGGCCUGGUUGAUGUCAGAGAGGGUGGAGAGCACGGACAGGGGUCCUGCGUCCCGCCGCAGGUGACUGAGCAAAGUUGGGAAUGAAGUUGCUGAUUGGGUUGGACGACUUUGAAAUAUCGUCCAGUAAAAAGUUGAUUAAGAAAAGUAGUCUGCUGGCACUGUCAUAACGUCCUACAGCCUGAGGGUUUAAUUAAAAGUCCUCUAUUCUU